UGGACCCCGGCAACCUGCACAGACAGCCAUCAGCAUCGGUCCUAAAAAGAGCGAACUUGUUCUGGGUGAAGAUUCUCCUGGAGACGCAGCAAGAACAUCCAUGGUAACUGAAAUGAAGGCAGAGAAUCUAGGUCCAGUUUCAGGUGACCAGGAGCAUUUGUUGGUGGAAGUUUGUAGAAGUUCCUUUCUGAUUACUUCCAUCUUCCAAUGAAUAAGAAGGAAGGUCAUCAUGUGAAAGGAUGGCUGGAGGAGAGAGAAGGUGUGAACAGCUGUCAAGCAGAGCAGGAGAGUGAAUGAACGCAUGGAGUGCAGGACUGCCGGGAUCACUACGCCCCAUUCAAAGCACUCUGGCUCCUUUAAUGAAGAUGGACUGUACGGGACUAGGGCAACGCCAAGGGAGUAGCAAGGAAGCUCCUGGAAUCGCCCAGACCAGAGGUGAUGGUGUUUUGGCCCUGGGAGGGGACACAGUGGCCAUUGACUCCCCAUGUGCAGUUCCCAUUCUACUCUGCAGACCCCGUGGAGGAAGAGACUGUACUUACACACCAGGGGAGUCUAAUUAUUUGGUGCAGUUUGACAAGUUGC